AGUCGAACGGUAGCACAGAGAGCUUGCUCUCGGGUGACGAGGGGCGGACGGGUGAGUAAUGUCUGGGAAACUGCCUGAUGGAGGGGGAUAACUACUGGAAACGGUAGCUAAUACCGCAUAACGUCGCAAGACCAAAGUGGGGGACCUUCGGGCCUCAUGCCAUCAGAUGUGCCCAGAUGGGAUUAGCUUGUAGGUGGGGUAACGGCUCACCUAGGCGACGAUCCCUAGCUGGUCUGAGAGGAUGACCAGCCACACUGGAACUGAGACACGGUCCAGACUCCUACGGGAGGCAGCAGUGGGGAAUAUUGCACAAUGGGCGCAAGCCUGAUGCAGCCAUGCCGCGUGUAUGAAGAAGGCCUUCGGGUUGUAAAGUACUUUCAGCGAGGAGGAAGGCGAUAAGGUUAAUAACCUUGUCGAUUGACGUUACUCGCAGAAGAAGCACCGGCUAACUCCGUGCCAGCAGCCGCGGUAAUACGGAGGGUGCAAGCGUUAAUCGGAAUUACUGGGCGUAAAGCGCACGCAGGCGGUCUGUCAAGUCGGAUGUGAAAUCCCCGGGCUCAACCUGGGAACUGCAUCCGAAACUGGCAGGCUAGAGUCUUGUAGAGGGGGGUAGAAUUCCAGGUGUAGCGGUGAAAUGCGUAGAGAUCUGGAGGAAUACC
rnacentral:rRNA from 1 species